UCCCAAAUUAAUAAAUAAAAACAAAUAAAAAUCACACUUAAGUAUAUGUAAACAAAAUUGUCCCUCAGAAAAUAAAGCUAUUGAAACCAAAGUACCAGAAUGAAAACUUUAAUUUUCCAGUUUUUGGUCCAAACAAUAAAUGUUGCAAAUAUAAAUUACUGAGCUUUUUUUUUAGAAUGUGAAUAAAUCUUCCCAAAUGCAGGAAUAAUUUACUUUUUCCUAGCUUUAUGGAGAAUAGACCAACAAAGCACUGUACCUCCCCCACAUGGUGCUGCACACUUGUGGCUAUCUGGCUGAAAACGGAAAAAUUAAUAAAAGAGCAAACUCCUCAAGAAGCAGCAAUAAGUCAUGCUGCCUGACAUUACUUUGCAAAAUAGCUGCAGAAAUCUCACAUCAGACUAGACUGAAACCAACUUGGCAGCAGAAGAAUUACACCGCAACUAAAUCUACUGACUCACAAAAGGGAAAAAGAAACUGCUGUAGGAUUAACCAGAACAUUUCAGCCCAUAUGAGCAAAAACGUUUAUUGUCUUGAGUAAGCAAGACAAUAUCUAGCAUUAAAAAAUAUUAAAGAUGUUAAUGGGUCCAUUUUGAAAACAAACCGAGCAACAUAAAUAACUGACGUAGCCACUUCAAUAUAUUUUUUUAAACUUGAAAAUAUAUUUUCGCAUCAUUCUAAAGUUUUUUUUAAAAUUGUUUUGACAUAAAACAUACAAAUUUCCAUAAAAAUAAGGGUUAACUUCUGAACAGAAACCUUUAGCUUAACGGUGCUAACUUGCUGCCAAAAGAUGCUAACAUUAACUCAGCUAGCUCGGUGAAGGUAUUACGUUGCAAAAUUUAUCAGGCAAAUAUUUUAAACAUAUUUUCUGCUUCUUUAACCUCUUAAUAGAUACAAGACAAGAAGGUACAAGAAUCUACCUGUAACUGGAGCUUAAGAUACCAGAACCAGCGUUACCUAAUCGUAACAAAUGAAUCUGCGGAUACGUACCAACUCCGAAAGACAAGAAGAAAACAAAUGCAGCGUAUCGAGACAUGAUCGCUGAGGGUUUGGGAUGUUCAGCCACUGAAGAGAAAAAA